GAUGAACGCUGGCGGCGUGCCUAAUACAUGCAAGUCGAGCGAACGGACGAGAAGCUUGCUUUUCUGAUGUUAGCGGCGGACGGGUGAGUAACACGUGGAUAACCUACCUAUAAGACUGGGAUAACUUCGGGAAACCGGAGCUAAUACCGGAUAAUAUUUUGAACCGCAUGGUUCAAAAGUGAAAGACGGUCUUGCUGUCACUUAUAGAUGGAUCCGCGCUGCAUUAGCUAGUUGGUAAGGUAACGGCUUACCAAGGCAACGAUGCAUAGCCGACCUGAGAGGGUGAUCGGCCAGACUGGAACUGAGACACGGUCCAGACUCCUACGGGAGGCAGCAGUAGGGAAUCUUCCGCGAUGGGCGAAAGCCUGACGGAGCAACGCCGCGUGAGUGAUGAAGGUCUUCGGAUCGUAAAACUCUGUUAUUAGGGAAGAACAUAUGUGUAAGUAACUGUGCACAUCUUGACGGUACCUAAUCAGAAAGCCACGGCUAACUACGUG
rnacentral:rRNA from 1 species